AAAAAGGUAAGCUAAAUAAGCUAAUGGGUUCAUACCCCAUUUAUAGAGGUACUAAUCCUCUCCUUUUUA
rnacentral:tRNA from 1 species